UACGGAGGAUGCAAGCGUUAUCCGGAUUUAUUGGGCGUAAAGCGUCCGCAGGUGGUUUUCCAAGUCUGCGGUUAAAGCGCGAGGCUUAACCUCGUACAGGCAGUGGAAACUGGAUGACUAGAGUAUGGUAGGGGUAGCGGGAAUUCCCAGUGUAGCGGCGAAAUGCGUAGAUAUUGGGAAGAACACCAGCGGCGAAAGCGCGCUACUGGGCCAUUACUGACACUCAUGGACGAAAGCUAGGGGAGCGAACAGG
rnacentral:rRNA from 1 species